GUGCAGCUCUGAAUCAUGUCUUCCUGGGAAGCCUGGCAAGGUGAAGGCGGCUCCAGGGCCCCACUAUUCUGCAAUAAAAGCAGGAGCUAUUGCCCAGGCUCUGUGUUCGUAGCCAGCAGUGGGGACCUGGAGGCUAGUGACCGCAGCCACCUGAACCUGUUCCCUAGGGUGGCCACGAGGUCUCCAGGAAGAAUGGUGCAAUAGAAGAAAAGUCUCUACUUUGGAAGGACCCCAUCCUUAAGGCUAUCAAAUGGCCCCAGGGACUAGGACACUCACACCGGGAUAAUUCUUACUGCUGGCCACAUACUGCUCAUCCUGUCACAAUUCCAUCAGCGACACACCUCCUUUGUUAAGGAAUGUCACUGCCUCACCUCAUGCAGUAACCAUGGCUGAUGUGCAGAGUUUAUUUGCUACAUGCUAGUUUAUUCCAUGUACUUAGAGGUAGGUCAUUGGAGAGGUGCUUAGUAACUUAUGCAAAUGAGCAUACUUAAUUAUGUCAAAA
rnacentral:lncRNA from 1 species